AUUAUCUUGGCAGAUUAAGUGCAUUAAAUUUAGAAUUUAAUUAUAUAAUUAUAUAAUUUAUAGAUAAUA
rnacentral:tRNA from 1 species